rnacentral:misc_RNA from 1 species
AACAAGGCGUACCUGCGGACCUGCGGAGGGAUCAUUAAAAAGAGUGUGUACCCCUCUGUAAAAUGAGUGGGUUACCUCCCGUCCUUUGUUGGCCUCUUAGGAGGUUAUUUUGAACUUUCUGCUUCGGUGGGGUUAAACCUACCGGAACACCCUCAAAUUCUUAUCAUUUAAAAAUUGUUCAGUCUGAUUUUUGUUAAUAAAAACAAAAAACUUUCAACAAUGGAUCUCAGAUCGGAAGAG